rnacentral:rRNA from 1 species
UACGUAGGGGGCAAGCGUUGUCCGGAAUCAUUGGGCGUAAAGCGCGUGUAGGCGGCCCGGUAAGUCCGCUGUGAAAGUCCAGGGCUCAACCCUGGGAUGCCGGUGGAUACUGUCGGGCUCGAGUCCGGAAGAGGCGAGUGGAAUUCCUGGUGUAGCGGUGAAAUGCGUAGAUAUCAAGAGGAACACCUGCGGCGAAGGCGGGUUGCUGGGCUGACACUGACGCUGAGGCGCGAAAGCUAGGGGAGCGAACGGG